rnacentral:rRNA from 1 species
GACGUAGGGCGCGAGCGUUGUCCGGAUUUAUUGGGCGUAAAGAGCUCGUAGGCGGCUUGUCGCGUCGAAUGUGAAAACCCACGGCUCAACUGUGGGCUUGCAUUCGAUACGGGCAGGCUAGAGUUCGGUAGGGGAGACUGGAAUUCCUGGUGUAGCGGUGAAAUGCGCAGAUAUCAGGAGGAACACCCGUAGCGAAGGCGGCACUCUGGGCCGAUACUGACACUGAGGAGCGGAAAGCGUGGGGAGCGAACAGGAUUAGACUA